rnacentral:rRNA from 1 species
GAUGAAUGCUAGCGGCAGGCCUAAUACAUGCAAGUCGAACGGUCCACUUCGGUGGAUAGUGGCGCACGGGUGCGUAACACGUAUGCAACCUACCUUACAUUGGGGGAUAGCCUUUCGAAAGGGAGAUUAAUACCGCAUAAGACAGUAACAUGGCAUCAUGUAGCUGUUAAAGAUUUAUCGAUGUAAGCUGGGCAUGCGUCCAAUUAGUUAGUUGGUGAGGUAACGGCUCACCAAGACGAUGAUUGGUAGGGGAACUGAGAGGUCAAUCCCCCACACUGGCACUGAGAUACGGGCCAGACUCCUACGGGAGGCAGCAGUAGGGAAUAUUGGGCAAUGGACGCAAGUCUGACCCAGCCAUGCCGCGUGCAGGAAGAAGGCGUUCUGCGUUGUAAACUGCUUUUAUAUAGGAAGAAACGACCCUUGCGAGGGGCAUUGACGGUAUUAUAUGAAUAAGCACCGGCUAACUCCGUGCCAGCCGCCGCAGUAAGAC